GUGUUAGGAGAGAUGACAACAAAAUUGCCCACUUACUUGCAAAAAAUACUUUGACCAUUUCCGAACUCAUUGUAACCAUGGAGGACUCUCCCCCUUGGAUUUAUCCACUUUUGUAAUGAAAUGGCAUAAGGGUACUCCCCUUUUUCAAAAAAAAAAAAACCCAACGCCGCUUAACUCAACAUCUUCUCCUCCUCGCCAAUGUCGUCUGCCUAUUUCUCUGUUGCAGGUUCUCCGUCGGAAGCUGUUGUAGUCUCUUAAUCUCCUCGAUGUGGGUCAUCCAGUACAGUCUUAGAAUUGAGUCUAAUCCGAAAGCAUCAGAGUCGUCUGGUUCUAAUUCGAGACGAUGAGUGCUGUCAAUGUCACCAACGUUACCGUUUUGGACAACCCCGCUGCGUUCCUUAAUCCCUUCCAGUUCGAGAUCUUCUCCGAGUUCUUCGCCCCACGUAAAGAUGAUUUGGAAUGGAAACUCAUAUAUGUGGGGUAGUUUGCCAAAGAUUUCUCUGCUGGGUAUACAAAGACGGGGAAAGCAUCUUAAAAUUUCGAUUGAUAAAUCAAUGGUCAGAUUUCUCAUUUGCGUUAUUGUCAGGCAGUUUGUCAAAUGAGAUAAUGAGGACUUGGACCAGCUGGAUUUCAUGUAUUUCCUUCCUAUCAGUAGCCAGAACCCUUCUCUCUCUCUCCAUCGUGUCGAUCCACUCUCCUCUAAGGAGAAUAUUACUCCAAUUGGCUCAAAGAUGGUGGUAAUUUCAACUUCGUGCCUUUUUUUCUGUAUCUGUUUAUCAUAACUAGUGUUUCAUUUGUUUGCUUAGAAAAACUUAAUGGGUUUUUUAUUAAUUUGCUUGAUUGAGGUUUAGAUUUUUUAUUUUAUUUUUUUGAGCUAAUUAGGAUUUGCAAUAUAACUUAUCAUUAUAUUAUUUUUCAAGAAACACACUAAAGUGGAAGAUACAAACCUGAAAGGGCCCGUGAAGACUAUUACAGAUAGUGUAAAUUUAUUUUACAUUUUAAUCACAUGUAAUCAAGUGCACAGUAGACUUAGCAUGUACUCUAGUUAUUGUUACCCUGCUUUAUAUUUCCGGGUACAGUUCACUUUCAAUACAAGAUUCUAGAAUACUCUUCCAUCCUCAUUUUCUUCUUAUCAUGGUAUUAGAUGAAACCCUAACCCUAACUCACUAAAGCGCUGUCAUGCCCAUCCCUAUAGAUGAAUCAUCUUCUUCUUCUGUGCUCCUUUCUCAUUCUUCUGUUGAUUACUUGAAUCCAUAUUUUCUUCAAAGUGGUGAUCGUCUGGGAGCCAUGCUCGUCUCCCAACCACUGAAUGGUGAUAACUAUCUCACAUGGAAUUGGUCAAUGUCUAUGGCCUCAUCACAAAAAACAAACUCUGUUUUGUUAAUGGUGCUUUGACGUUGCCUGAUGAGAAUGAUCCGAUGUAUCAUGCUUGGAUUCAUCAUAAUAUUGUUGUUCUUUCUUGGUUACUCAAUGCUUUAUUGAAAGAAAUCACAUCCUCUAUCAUUUACAUGGACUCUGCGGAAGAGAUGAGGAAUGAUUUAAAGGAGCGAUUUGCUCAAAGCAAUCAUCCUCGUAUUUUCUAGAUCCGGAAAGCCAUUGCAUCUUUGUUUCAAGAAACCACCUCUGUAAGUUCAUACUUUACUCGUUUGAAAAGUUUAUGAGAAGAAAUGAUUCAUUUUCGACCCCUGCCUCCUUGUUCUUGUGGAGCUAUCAAACGGAUUGUUGAAUACCAGCAAGAGGACUAUGUCCUGCAGUUCUUAAUGGGGCUUCAUGAGUCUUAUGCUCCUUUACAAAGUUAGAUUCUACUUUCUGACCCUUUUCCCCCUAUUAAUAAGGUGUUUUCUCUUAAUUCUUCAAGAAGAAAAAUAGAGAGAGAUUGUUUCUAAUUCUUUAUGUUCUAAUGAUGUUGUUGCUAUGUUGACUAAUUGUGAUUCUAGAAUAUGAAAGAUUCUGUUGGAACCCGAAAUGGCAAACAACUUGUAAAUCAUAAGGAACGGCCUUAGUGUACUCAUUGUGGUCUAUCGAGCCAUAUGAUUGAUAAAUGCUAUAAGAUCCAUGGGUAUCCACCUGGAUACAAGGCAAGGAUCAGAAACCCUAAUGCCAAUCAGGCCACUGUUAACAAUCUAAUUCAGAUUCAGUUAUGGUUUCAAAUUUCCCAUUUUCUCAAGAGCAAUGUCAACAGCUCCUUACAUUUCUUCAAACUAGUCAAACUAAUCCUUUUUCUGUGAAUCAAGUAAUUACAGUUUCAUCCACUUUUAUACCUGUAUCUUUACCCUCGGUUGCACAACCUUUUUUCCGGUAUUUCCAUUACUAAUUCAUAUCAGCCUUUCAGUUUAUCAACUGUUGAUACAAUUGCAUUUCAUCAACAGUCUUGGAUUCUUGGUUCUGGAGCCACUGACCAUAUGAUUGGUUCAUUUUCUCUUUUUACUUCAUUACCAACCCGUCAAUAAAUCUGUGAAAUUGCGUAAUGGUUCUUGUAUUCAAGCUACACAUAUGGGUAUGGUUAGACUUUCUGAUUCUCUAAUUCUAACUGAUGUGCUAUAUGUUCCCACAUUUACAUUCAAUCUCAUUUCAGUUAGCAAGUUAAUUUCCCAGUUUUCUUGUUUUCUUUUAUUCUUACAUGGCUUUUGUUAUAUUCAGGACCUCUUCAAUUGGAGGACAAUUGGAGUAGCUAAACUUUCUCAAGGUUUAUAUCACUUACUGCAAGUUCCAGGCACCUAUAUUUCUUGUAAUUCAAAUACUUUUUCCCAUUGUAAUUUUGUCAAAAACAGUUAUCAUAUUUGGCACUGUCGCCUUGGACAUAUUUCUGAUUCUAGAUUCAAUAAUUUGUCCUCUGAUAUUUCCUGCUUUACAGUUCCAAAUAAUAGUCAUUGUGAUGUUUGUCCACUUGCUACACAGAAAAGACUUCCUUUUCCAUUAAGUUCAUCAACCUCUAGUUCUAUAUUUGAACUCAUUCAUUGUGAUGUUUGGGGGCCUUUUUCAAUUACUUCAUAUGAUGGUUUUAUAUUUUUUUUUUCUCACUAUAGUAGAUGAUUACAGUCGAUGUACUUGAAUAUAUUUGCUCAAAUCGAAGUCUGAGACACGUUCAUAUCUACAAUCCUUUUUUGCCUUUGAGGAAACUCAGUUUAAUUGUAAAAUCAAAACUAUUCGAAUUGAUAAUGCUUUAGAAUUUGAAAUGAAAUCUUUUUUUUUUUUCUAGCAAAGGAGUUGUACACCAACACAGUUUUGUUUACACUCCUUAGCAAAAUGCUAUCGUUGAAAGAAAACAUUAGCAUAUUCUUAAUGUUGCUAGAUAUCUUCAUUUUCAAUCAAAUAUUUCUUUACAGUUUUGGAGUGAUUGUGUUCUCACUACUGUUUAUCUUAUAAAAAGCAUUCCCAUGCCUAUUUUACACAAAAAUCUCCAUACGAAGUACUUUUUUCUGUUAAACCUCAGUAAAAACAUCUGUUUUUGUUGUCUUUGUUAUGCAUCUUCACUUGGUAUUUCUUCUUCUACCAAGUUCUCUGCUCGGGCUCAAGUUUGUGUAUUUUUGGGAUAUCCUGCUGGUAUAAAAGGAUAUAAAUUGUAUAAUCUUCACUCAUAAGAUCAUCAUUUCUAGAGAUCUCAUAUUUCAUGAACAUCUUUUUCCUUUCAAACCAGAUUCACCUUAUCAUCACCUCAUUCCUGAAACACAGAAUUCUCCCUCAUGCACAAAUCUGGUUCUACCAGUUUCUCUUUCAGAUGCUUCUAUUUCUCCUUCUUCAAAUCAUUCUCCACCCAUUCAAUCUAAUACUUCUCAGAAUUCACCACCACAAAAUUUUAUUCAAAAGUCCACAAGAAAUAGAAGACUACCUGAUUACUUACAGGACUAUCAUUGUUCCUUGAUCUCAAUUAAUAAAGUUACUAGUUCUUCUCUGGUUGAUGGUUCUUUCGCUUCAGGUACUCCUUAUUCUAUUUCUUCAUAUUUGUCAUAUUCUAAAUUCUCUUCCUCCUAUAAAUAUCCCUUUAUGAACCCAAAUUCUUUCAUCAAGCUAUUAAAUAUCCCCAUUGGAGAAAUGCAAUGGCAGAUGAAAUCAAUGCUCUUGAAGCUUAUAAAACUUGGAUCCUAACUGACUUACCUCCUGGCAAGCAGCCUAUUAGUUGUAGAUGGGUUUACAAGUUCAAGUUGAAAUCUGAUGGCACUCUUGAAAGGCAUAAGGCUCAGUUGGUUGCAAAAGGGUAUACUCAGAGUAAGGGAAUUGAUUACUUUGAUACUUUUUCUCUUGUUGCUGAGCUAACCACUGUUCAUUGCUUCCUUUUAUUAGCUGCUAUACACAAUUGGGAGUUGCACCAAUUGGAUGUUAAUAAUGCUUUUCUUCAUGGUAAUUUGGAUGAAGAAGUAUACAUGAAACUUCCUCCUGGUUUUUCUAAACCUGGAGAUCCUUGGGUGUGUAAGCUGCUCAAGUCUCUAUAUGGUUUGAAAUAAGCCUCUCGUCAAUGGUUUUCUAAAGUUUCUUUCGCUUUGGUUGCUUAUGGAUUUACUCAGUCAAAUUCUGAUUAUUCCUUGUUUGCUAAAUGUUCUGGUGACUCUUUUGUGGCACUACUGGUAUAUGUGGAUGAUAUUGUUAUAGCUUCCAAUCAUUCACAAACUGUUAUUGAUCCUAAAGGUAUUUCAAGUCUUCAUUUCAAGCUGAAAGAUCUUAGUGUUUUGAGGUAUUUUUUGGGAUUGGAAGUUGCAAGAUCUGCUAAGGAUAUUUCUCUUUCUCAAAGGAAGCAUGCUCUUGAAAUAAUUUCUGAUUCUAGUAUAUUGGCUGCUAAACCUGCUAGCCGUCCAAUGGAUCAAAACUUAAGACUUUCCAAAACAGAAUCUUUCCUUUAAUUGAUGAUCGAGCCUCUUACAGAAGAUUAAUUGGUCGUCUUCUUUAUUUGACACUUACACGACUUGACUUGUCUUUUUUGUUACUACUUUGAGUUAGUUUUUGGAUCAUCCUCGAUAGUCUCACUAUGAUGCAGUUGUUGAAGUGAUCAGAUACAUCAAAGCUACUGUAGGCCAAGGAUUGUUCUUCCCCAGCAACUCUUCCUUACAACUUUGAGGAUUUUGUGAUUUUGAUUGGGCCACCUGUCCUGAUUCUAGAAGAUCAGUUACUGGAUUAUGCCUUUUCCUUAGUGAUUUAUUAAUUUCAUGGAAGUCCAAGAAGCAAGUUACUGUCUCCAGAUCCUCUGCUGAAGCAGAGUACCGUUCUAUGGCUUCCACAUGUUGUGAAAUCAAAUGGCUUAUUUCUCUUUUUCCUGAUUUUGGCAUCUCAUUUCCUUCUCCAUCUGUUCUUUAUUGUGAUAGUCAAGCAACCAUCCAUAUUGCUACUAAUCCAUUUUUUCAUGAAAGAACUAAGCAUAUUGAAAUAGAUUGUCAUUUAGUUAGAGAUAUGAUUCAUUCAAAAUGGUAAAGUUUUAACUAAUCAUGUUUCUUCUGAACAUCAGUUAGCAGAUUUUUUAACUAACCCUUUAGCUUCUGAUAGCUUUCGUGUAUCUCUCAGCAAGCUGGGUGUCCUUAAUUUGUACAUUCCAUUUCGAGGGGGCUAUUACAGAUAUUGUAUAAAUUUAUUUUACAUUUUAAUCACAUGUAAUCACGCGCACAGUAGACUUAGCAUGUACUCUAGUUAUUUUUACUCUGAUUUAUAUUUCGGUGUACAGUUCACUUUUAAUACGAGAUUCUAGAAUACUCUUCCUCUUCAAUUCCCGUUUCCUCAUUUUCCUCUUAUCAAAGACCUCCAAAAUAGAAUUGAUAUCCUACGAGAGCAAGCACAAGUCAGGCAACCUCGAUCACUUUAACAAGUUUAAAAAGGUAUGCUCAGUUGCUUGUGACUCUUGCAUGUCUUCAAAAGAUUAAAAAGGGUUUUUGCUUAGAUAGAAUCGGGAUUAUGUUGAAAGGAAAGAUUAGAAUUUACAAUUAUACUUGAAAACAGCAAUUUAAGUCUGAUGGUAUAUUGGUACAUGUAUCUUGUAGUUCAGCAUCACUAAUCGCUGCAGUUAUAAAUUGACUGGUACCGGUCUGAUAAAAUGGAAAGACGACAAAAUUUUAAUUUUAAUUUUUUUUAUAUGUUUUUUGCUGCAUUGGGAUUUGGAAAAUUUGAGAAACCAAAGAAUCGGGGCCAAAUAGUUGAAUUAAUAUCACUUGAGUGGAGGUUUUGGUUCUUUAAGUCCCAUUUGUUAAAUUGUUAAAUUCUCGAGUUGUGAAAGUGCUAUAAUGAUUAUUUUGGGACUUUGGCCUUCAUCUGCUACUCAUCCAGUAAAUGUUGAUUGUCUUUUGUAGGUUUACUCCUUCAAUGUCUCGCAGGCAGCUCUUUAGAGAUAUGCUAUGCUAGAGGACCAAAGACCUGAAAGUGGUAACCUUUGUUAUGAUGACCAUGGUGAUGCAUGUACCUACUCAAAUUUGCUUGAUGUGGACUGGCUUUUUUCAUCUGCAAAUUCUUGUGAUAUGAAAGGUCUAUCACCAGCCUUUCAUCAGAAAAUUUUGUGGAUGGACUGAAACUGGGAACUACCACAUCUGCUGGGUACUGUGUUGUUGGAUCAUAAUGACCCUUCUGUCCUUAGAUGAUUUGUUUAAUUUAAAGUACAUAAAUUUUUAUUGAAUUUAAAAGUUUUGGUUGAACUUUCUCGUCGGUUGCUCUUUGAGAUUGAUUUUUCCUCCCUGAAUCGAUUUAUGUAUCACAUGAAGAGAAUUAUAAUCUAUAUGAUAAACGCAUAAUAAGUAUUUUAUAGUA